AAUCCCGCCAUGCUCUUCCACAGCUUUCUUGAACUAAGAGUCGAUCGGAUCCGGUCAGUUCAGAGCUCAAGAAAGCUGUGGGAAAACAUGGGCGGAUUCG
rnacentral:pre_miRNA from 1 species